UACGGAGGGUGCAGGCGUUAAUCGGAAUUACUGGGCGUAAAGCGCACGUAGGUGGUUUGUUAAGCUAGCUGUGAAAUCCCCGGGCUCAACCUGGGCACUGCAGUUAGAACUGGCAAGCUAGAGUAGGGUAGAGGGGUGUGGAAUUCCAGGUGUAGCGGUGAAAUGCGUAGAUAUCUGGAGGAACACCGGUGGCGAAGGCGGCAUCCUGGACCGGCAUUGACGCUGAGGCGCGAAAGCCAGGGGAGCAAACGGG
rnacentral:rRNA from 1 species